AUGAAGGCGAUAUUGAUCCUUUAUUUCCACCGAUAUCAAUUUUUAAUCAAAAUGAUCGAGGAUCUAAAAAGCGUGGAAAGCUAGGCUUCACUGAUAUGGAAAUGCAAUCAGCUGUGAUACAUAUUUUGCUUAAUUGUCCAGAGAUUCAACCAUAUGUCAACUUGUUCGUAAACACAUGGGGUAAUGAAGCCAUAUAUACAGAAUUUUCCAAAUGGCUGAGGAACUAUGUUUACGAUGAAUACUCAAGUGUCCAACAUUUGCAAUUAGUGAAAGAAGUAACACUUGGACCU